rnacentral:rRNA from 1 species
UGCAGUCGAGCGGACAGAAGGGAGACUUGCUCCCGGAUGUUAGCGGCGGACGGGUGAGUAACACGUGGGUAACCUGCCUGUAAGACUGGGAUAACUCCGGGAAACCGGAGCUAAUACCGGAUAGUUCCUUGAACCGCAUGGUUCAAGGAUGAAAGACGGUUUCGGCUGUCACUUACAGAUGGACCCGCGGCGCAUUAGCUAGUUGGUGGGGUAAUGGCUCACCAAGGCGACGAUGCGUAGCCGACCUGAGAGGGUGAUCGGCCACACUGGGACUGAGACACGGCCCAGACUCCUACGGGAGGCAGCAGUAGGGAAUCUUCCGCAAUGGACGAAAGUCUGACGGAGCAACGCCGCGUGAGUGAUGAAGGUUUUCGGAUCGUAAAGCUCUGUUGUUAGGGAAGAACAAGUGCGAGAGUAACUGCUCGCACCUUGACGGUACCUAACCAGAAAGCCACGGCUAACUACGUGCCAGCAGCCGCGGUAAUACGUAGGUGGCAAGCGUUGUCCGGAAUUAUUGGGCGUAAAGGGCUCGCAGGCGGUUUCUUAAGUCUGAUGUGAAAGCCCCCGGCUCAACCGGGGAGGGUCAUUGGAAACUGGGAAACUUGAGUGCAGAAGAGGAGAGUGGAAUUCCACGUGUAGCGGUGAAAUGCGUAGAGAUGUGGAGGAACACCAGUGGCGAAGGCGACUCUCUGGUCUGUAACUGACGCUGAGGAGCGAAAGCGUGGGGAGCGAACAGGAUUAGAUACCCUGGUAGUCCACGCCGUAAACGAUGAGUGCUAAGUGUUAGGGGGUUUCCGCCCCCUUAGUGCUGCACUAACAUAAGCACUCCGCCGGGGGAGUACGGGCGCAAGACUGAAACUCA